AACGAACGCUGGCGGCAUGCCUAACACAUGCAAGUCGAACGAGACCUUCGGGUCUAGUGGCGCACGGGUGCGUAACGCGUGGGAACCUGCCCUUAGGUUCGGAAUAACUCCCCGAAAGGGGUGCUAAUACCGGAUAAUGUCUUCGGACCAAAGAUUUAUCGCCUUUGGAUGGGCCCGCGUUGGAUUCGCUAGUUGGUAGGGUAAAAGCCUACCAAGGCGACGAUCCAUAGCUGGUCUGAGAGGAGGAUCAGCCACACUGGGACUGAGACACGGCCCAGACUCCUACGGGAGGCAGCAGUGGGGAAUAUUGGACAAUGGGCGAAAGCCUGAUCCAGCAAUGCCGCGUGAGUGAUGAAGGCCUUAGUGUUGUAAAGCUCUUUUACCCGGGAUGAUAAUGACAGUACCGGGAGAAUAAGCUCCGGCUAACUCCGUG
rnacentral:rRNA from 1 species